UGCGUGUGCGCGCGAGCGCCGCGCCGCGCGGCUGCAGCGCUCCCCGUGCUGGGGGGGGAGGGGCGUUCCCUCAGCUCGCCCCGCCCGCACAGGGCGAGCGCGAGGCCUCCCUGCCGCCCGCCCGCAGCCGAGGGGACGCGGUACCCCCUGCGGCUGCCGCGGUCUCUCGGGAGGCGGUGCCUGCGGGCGGGGCGGGGCAGGCUAGGCUACGCCCGGCCCUGCUGACAGCGGCGCGCGCCCCUUCUCGCCGCCGUUGCCGCGAGGCGCCGCGGGGGGUGGCGCGGCGGUUGCGCGGGGGGCCGCGCCCUCCGCCCCUCCCCCCGGCCGUGAGGCGCCGGGGCGGGCUGCGCGCCUCUCGGGGUGGCCCCUUCUCCAGGACUUUCUAGGCAACAGCAAAGUGCAGUUGGCCCAGUUCUGAAAAUUUUAGCUGCUGGCAGCAGGGUUCUGAAAGCAAACUUGUGCAAGCUAGAGUUUAUCAGUGUCACACAGUAUUGCUUCACCAUGUUAUCUAUCUUACAUGGAGAUACAGUUAUAGAUAUGAUCGCCAUUCAUAAUCCACAAAGGAAGUCUUGAAAUCACUGAAAUAAAGAUCAAUAUUUAGAAGUUAAUUAAUGAAGCCAAAUCGCUGUGGUGCUACAUUGAGUCUCAGCAUGAACAGUUUGUGGUGAUGCAGACAGUGGGAGAGAAGCAACUUAUAUUGCUUAGAGCAACCCCAAUGGUGAAAGUGGGAGAACCCUGGAGAGGAUUUGUAUCACGAGGUGACCUUGAGGAAAGGAGCGAAGUGCUUGGGAGAAGAGGAGGUCUCAAGUACGUAAGUGCUCUGCCUGGUGCAUCUUCCUGAUAAGGCAGGGAUGGGAGCACCUCGUGCCGCCGAGUCAGUCGCGCAGGAAGUCCGUGGAGGGGAAGGCCUUUGACUACCUCCAGAUCAAGCCCUCCUACACUUGUUCUGAACCUCAUUUUGUGCUCUGAGCAUCAGCCAGUAUCACACCUGAUCUGAGAGACCUUCUUCAGCAUCUCUGGGGAGUUGGUCUGAGCUCAUAAUGCUGUGGGGCAUUGUCAGGGCUGAGGUGCCUUUGGAAAUGCAGACCAGGCAAACGAAGGCACUGGGAGGACUGAGGGCUGGAGAAAAGCUGAGAAGCACCUUUGAAAUGAUCAGUGGUGCCUAUAUGGAGGACUUAGGCACCUAGCCGCACUUAAGGAUCCUGCCUCCCUUCAGUUGAUAUUCUCUCUUGUAGACAGGGUUACAAAGAACAGAAAAAAAGAAAAAAAGAGAAGUGACACCACUUGCUAGGAGAAGGCGUUCAGAAGCUAUUGAUGAGCUGUGUCCAUAUUCUGCGGCAGCACAAUCUGUCUUGUGAGCAGGAAGGUAGAAGUGUUUGUGUUUGCAAUAACAGCAUGCGCAGAUGACUUGGACUCUCCACCACAGACACAUCCAAACACCAUUAUAUCUGAAAAGUGUUUCUUCUUUGCUCCUUAUUUACUGACCACUUAUCAGAUUGAGCAUUUCUCACCUCCAGCUUUGGUGCAGGCUCCCAGCAGGUUGACUACAUUCAGAUGAUGUCCUAUGUGGAUGAGGAUCUUCAGCUCAGACAUUAAAGCCUUGCACUCAUUAGUAGUUGCACAUUCUGCUUAAGAUAAACAGGACAAAAACAUAUUUACACAACAGGAUAUUUUUAACAGGACACAGCAAGAUCCUGUUUAUACUUGAAAAUGAAACCCACCCAGGUUACUUGCAGUAUCUCUGCCUUUCAGACUCCUAAACAGAUAAGAGUUCAUCCGCUUCACUGUCUGUUGUUGACCUUUAUGAAGUGAAAUAACACUUUAUCUUUUGAGUGACUCUUCCUUUCUCUAGCAUGGGUUACAGAGGGCUACUGUCCUGUAAGAGAACCCCCCUAAACAAGAUACCAGAGAGCCUUUGCAAGGACUGAAUUUUGCAAGCUUAGUAAAGGAGCAAACAACCACCCCAAACAACAAUAACAUAGAAAAAAUAUGCUCCUCCUUUUUAAGUGAUGUGUAGUUCAGCAGUACCUCUUUGCAACACCUCAGUCUAUUUUUCCACAGUACGGAGCAGCUCUCCACUGCAGGUGAUGGAGGAGUCCAACACAUCUGUAAGACGGGUCCCCACAUAUACCAGAGAACGUACAGCAGUAUGGGUUCUUGCAGAACAGUACUAAAUCUCCAUCAUCUGAGAUCUUAUCAACUCCAGAAAUACAUUUCCCAGCAAAGCAGAGGGGGCCAUAUUUGCUUGUGAACCAUGAACCCAACGCUUAAGAAAGCACUGGUUAGCCAGUUAUAAAACACUUUCAUUCUCUUUUGCUACCAAAGUGAAGGAAGGCAUCCUCAGGCCAGAAUGAAAAGGACCUAUUUGAAUUACAUAGACAUUCCCUCAUAGUUUAUCCCAUUUUCUGUGUCAUAUGUAGUUCAGAUGCUGGCCUGUUUCCACUAACAUCUUUACAAAACUUUCAUGAUCAAAAUGAAUUUUAAUACAAGGGACUGUGGCCUGUUUUCUCUGUAUAUCAUCUGUUUCUGCCUUUGCAUCAUGUAAGAUUUAAAAAUGAAGAAAUAGUUACAUAAUAAAUCAUUUGGUGUGACAAACUUAACCUCCUUAUCGGACUGCAGAAUUCUCCAUAAACAGAUUUUCCACCAACUUAUGUGUCAUAAAGAAGGGGCUAUUCCAAGAUUUCUUCAGUCAGCGGUUUUUGUACAUGGAUGUAUCUCCGUUGCCUUCAGUGGCAUUGCUUCUGAUUUAUACUGGCAUGAGCUGGGACACAUGCCUAGUAAAAUCCAAACAGAACAGCCUCUGAAAUGCUCCAGAUAACCUAGCGCAUUAAGAUACAGCCUUCAACCCGGGACAGAUACCAAGAUACUUCAUGGAAAUGACAGAUAUGCUGGAAUUACAGUAAUGCAGCCAUCUCCAGAGCUUAUUUUUUUCUUUUUUUUUUUUCUGAAUGGAUUGACUCACACUAGAGAAUCUGGUUUAUUCAGGAAAAUGCUGACUUAUGGACAUGUUAGCUGGGGAAGGCCAGGUUAGAGCAGGAGGCUGCUGUCUCCACUGGGGGUGAAAGGCAUAAAAUUAGAUGGAGGAAUUGUCAGAGUUUACGGAGUAUGUGCAGGCAGGGUAGAGCUGACGUGAGGAUCAACUGACAAACACAGCAUGGAAGUAAAUGAAAACCUGGAGCUACCCAGGGCAGUAAGUUUCUGAUGGAGAGGGGAGUGUGGAUGGAUCAGGAGCUCCUAGGAUCUUUCACGGCAGGAUCUGGAGGUGGGUAUGGGAGUGCAACAAACAGCAGGGGAGAAGGUGAUCUGAAGAUCUGUUUAGUGAUGCAGAGAAGGGAGACCAGGUCCAGAGGAGGUCCAGAAAGGCGACAAACAGAUGGAUUUUGGCACUUCAGAGAAAUGGGAGGUAGCAGAGCAGCAGGAGAGGCAGCUGGCAACAGAAGCCAAAUAGUGUGAUGUAAGAGAAGCUCCUGAAUUAUGGCAUUGCAGGGGUUAAUACAUCAUGCAGCAGCAAUACAGAGCAGUUUGAGCUAUGAAAAGACAUCCAGUGAACACCAUGUGUACCUUUGACAAAAUCCAAAGUGAACAGCUAAAAACCUGCAACCCAAGUAGUCAACGUGCUGGCUGAUGUAUUUAUUCAUAAGCUGUCUGCAGAGUCUUUGUAUGUAAAUGUAAUAUGAAAGAAUAGUCUCCGAGUUCACCCUUUCCCCACCACUGAAUGGUAAAAGCAUUCCUUAAUUUCAGUAAUUGCAAGCAAGUUGUCCCUACUUCACUCCCUUGGCAUUGCUUUCUUUCCAACCCCUUGAACUGUUCUACAUCUGGAAGGGCUGUGAUCGAAGCCUUAGAUCCAAUUUCAGACUAUCUGAUGUAAUUACAUUCUGUAAUCUGCUCCCCUCCUAACCCCACAGACCUGGAAGCUGCCAUUUUCCUCCUCUAGGAAUACAAGACUUAAUCAGCAGCACAGCACGGAGCCCGCUUGUCAUUUCCUACACAUUAACAGCCAGUGUAUAACAACUAAUUGCUCCCAUAUGGCAAACCCACUCCCUUCUGAACACAAUGAACUCGGGACUGGUUUGGAGCUGAGAACUGAAAACCUUCUUGCCGACGGGUUCCCUGAGGAGUCUUCUGAAUCUCAGAGGGAUAUGUACCUUUAAGCAUUUUAACAGCAACUGUUUUGCAGGUUGAAGAUUUAUCAAUGCCAAAAGCAGACGCUUCCACCACCUUCCCAAAAGCACCGUGACCCAGUGUUUUACCUAGAGAAGCAAGAGUCAAGAGUGAGCCAAGGGGGACUUAUGACAGUCUGCAUCAGAUAAGAGGGAGACAUGCAUUCUCAGCUAUGCAAGAAAUACAAGACUCCAAAGCCCAGGCACAGUGUAGACCGAUAGUCAAUAGAAGCCUGUAUCACAUAUUGCAGUAUAUGUAUAUGAACACUAUGGUUUAUAUCCAUAUGACUUUAAUGCAAUACAGUAUGUGAUAGAACAGAGUAGAAUAAAUAAAUCUGGAUUCAGCUGGAGGCAAGGUUGACUAUAUAUCAAUGACUUAAGAGUAAAAACAUUACAUAUAGUUAUCCCCAAGCCCAGGAAAAUCAGAGUUCACAUUGAACAUGGAAUUGUGGAAUCCUGAUCUGUCAUGAAUCACAAUCAUGGAGAUAGCUAGUCAAGGCAUUCAGGCAGUCUGAACCCUUUAACCCUUCAGUUAUUGACAUUUAUUUGACAUAAAAGCUAUAUUAAAUGGAAUUUAAGCUGAUAA